UUUACUUCCUUGGGUCGGGUGUCUGCCAUGGAUUCCAGAAGAUGAACGGCACCUCUGAGCAAGACCUCUAUUCUACACAAGAUAUACAGCAGUCUCUACUGGGCCAAAAGCGUGGAAAUAAAGAGAGUCAACUUACUGGCUGUCCAGGCUCAUCUCCUCCGAGGAUUCUGAAGCCAAAUCCAGACUCCAUCCUCCGAAGGUGAACAUCCAGUUCCUUAUAGUCUGGACCUGGUGUAGAGAAGAUCCCACUGAGUCACGAAUCCUCCUCCUCCCACCCCCCAGGAGCCGUACACACCGAUGAUCAAGCUAAAGAAAUAUUUCAGACAUUAGUUGAAGACAAAAUGCCAAGCUAUAUCUUCAAUAUUUUCUACAUAUCCAAAGAAUGACAUGGAAGCUUACAGGAUGAAAUGAUCUGGAGCACAUAUAUUCCCAGGGGAUGUUAGAGCAUGCUGAGGGUAACAAGACGAUGAGCUUUCUGAAAAUAUCCCAAGUUGAACAAAGGAUCAAAACACCAUGAAGAACAACUUUGCCCCAUUGUUUUUAUCAAUUUGGAGCUAUGCCAGGGUUAAUUUUUGAGAUUUCCAAGAAUUUCCCCAAACAGAAGCAGGCAGUGAAGCCACUGAGCUAAACCCCUGGCCCACAUGCUGAUUUUUUAAAAAGAAAGAAAA
rnacentral:lncRNA from 1 species